rnacentral:rRNA from 1 species
GACGAACGCUGGCGGCAGGCUUAACACAUGCAAGUCGAGCGAGCGGCGGACGGGUGAGUAAUGUCUGGGAAACUGCCUGCUGGAGGGGGAUAACUACUGGAAACGGUAGCUAAUACCGCAUACCAUCAACUGUGCCCCGAUGGGGUUAGCUAGUAGGUGGGGUAAUGGCUCACCUAGGCGACGAUCCCUCGCUGGGCUGAGAGGAUGACCAGCCACACUGGAACUGAGACACGGUCCAGACUCCUACGUGAGGCAGCAUUGGGGAAUAUGGCACAAUGGGCGCAAGCCUGAUGCAGCCAUGCCGCGUGUGUGAAGAAGGCCUGCGGGUUUUAAAGCACUUUCAGCGAGGAGGCGUUACUCGCAGAAGAAGCACCGGCUAACUCCGUGCCAGCAGCCGCGGUAAUUC